AUGCGCAAAAUCUCAAGAACUAUAGGGACCAGGCGGAGGGAGCCACUUAUUCCUCUUCCAGGACUGGGGUCCUUCCGGAGAGAGUCGCGGCGGCGGGGGGCUGGCGGGCCCAGCCGCCGGACCAGGCCAGGGCGGCCCCGCCUGCCCGCCCCGCCUCCCUCCCGGGUUUCUGCCCCGCGCGCGGUUGCUGUGGCAGCGCGGGACGCCGCCGGAACCCCGGCGGCCGCGGCCUCCACCUCGCCCUCGGCGGCCUCCGCGGGACCCCUGCUCGGGCCCAGCCCGCGCUCCGCCAUGCCCCGGGGGAGGCGCGGGGGCCGGGUGAGCGCCCUGGAGGGCGGCCGGGGGGAGGAGGCGCGCCCGGCGGCGGGGGCCGUGCAGUCGGCGCGGCGGGCGUCCGGGCGGCAGCCGGAGGCGGCGGCCGAGCUGAUUCUGCUCCGGGGCAUCUUCGAGAUCGGGAGGGACAGCUGCGACGUGGUGCUGAGCGAGCGGGCCCUGAGGUGGCAGCCCAUCCGGCCCGAGCGUCUCCCAGGUGAUUCCAAGUAUGAUUUUCUACAUAGAGAAGAAUUUGUUGAACUCAAGGACAUAUUCUCUGUCAAACUGAAACGGCGUUGUUCAAUAAAACAGCAGAAAAGUGGUACUUUAUUAGGAAUCACUCUCUUCAUAUGUUUGAAAAAGGAACAAAAUAAAUUAAAGGAUUCUACACUUGAUCUUAUUAAUUUAAGUGAAGACCACUGUGACAUAUGGUUUAGACAGUUCAAGAAAAUUUUGGCAGGAUUUUCAAACAGACCAAAGUCAUUAAAAAUACUUCUUAACCCCCAAAGCCACAAAAAGGAAGCUGCUCAGGUCUAUUAUGAAAAGGUUGAACCACUGUUGAAGAUUGCAGGAAUAAAGACUGAUGUAACAAUAACAGAAUAUGAAGGGCAUGCCCUGUCACUACUCAAAGAAUGCGAACUACAGGGAUUUGAUGGUGUGGUAUGUGUUGGUGGAGAUGGAUCUGCCAGUGAAGUAGCCCAUGCUUUGCUUCUUAGAGCCCAGAAGAAUGCAGGGUUGGAAACAGACAGCAUCCUGACUCCUGUGGGAGCCCAGCUUCCGCUUGGUGUGAUACCAGCAGGAUCUACUAAUGUAUUGGCGCAUUCUCUCCAUGGAGUUUCUCAUGUGAUAACUGCAACUUUGCACAUUAUAAUGGGGCAUAUACAACCAGUCGAUGUCUGUACCUUCAGCACCAUGGGCAAAUUUCUUCGCUUUGGCUUCUCGGCCAUGUUUGGCUUUGGUGGAAGAGCUUUGGCUGUGGCAGAAAAUCAUCGAUGGAUGUCCCCCAACCAGCGGAUGGAUUUUGCUAUCAUGAAGGCACUGGCAAAACUAAAGAGGGCACAAGGAUAUCCCAAAUCUGAUUGUAAUGAUCAGUGGCAGAUGAUCCAGGGUCAGUUCUUGAAUGUCAGCAUUAUGGCAAUUCCAUGCCGGUGUGCAGUGGCACCUAGAGGCUUGGCACCUAAUACCGGAUUAAAUAAUGGAAGCAUGGCUCUCAUAACUGCACGAAACACUUCACGACCGGAAUUUAUAAAACACCUGAAAAGAUAUGCAAGUAUUAAAAACCAGUUCAAUUUUCCAUUUGUUGAUACUUACACUGUUGAAGAAGUAAAAGUUUGCCCAAGGAGUAACAGCAGUGGACACAAUCCAGAGGAAGAUCAUGGACCACGUGAAACUGCUUCAGGAAACUGUUUCCCUUGGAAUGUAGAUGGUGAUUUAAUGCAAGUUGCAUCAGAGGUCCAUGUUAGAGUACACCCAAGACUUAUCAAUCUUUAUGGAAGAAGCAUGGAAGAAAUGAAUGAUUCCAAAGUAACAUGUAGUUGUUUAUAAGAGGAAUGUGGAAACUAGAAUUUUAAUAUGAAAAUAUAUAUUAUAUUUUAAUUAAUCAGAUAUUUUAAUAAGGAAAAAUAUCUAUUUUGAAAAGGAAUUAAAAUUGCUAUUUUUGACGUUACUAAAAUUAGCUUCUAAACUUAAAAAAAUAAGACAUGAAAUAUAUACAAAACAACUGAAAUUUUGGUUUUUGGAGAGUAUUUAUUGGAAUGGAAAAUAAACAUCUCCGGUAUUUGAAAUUUAAACA
rnacentral:lncRNA from 1 species